GGUCAGUCGGUGCAGGCGGGCGCGGUAAGAGGGAGGCGGCGGGGUUUGGACGGGGUUAGUGGGCGUGAAGGGCGUGUAGGCGGGCAGGUAGGUCUGGUGUGAAAACUAGAGGCUUAACCUCGAGAUGUCAUCGGAAACCAUUUGGCUAGAGUCCGGAAGAGGAAAGUGGAAUGCCUGGUGUAGCGGUGAAAUGCGCAGAUAUCAGGAAGAACACCAAUGGCGAAAGCAGCUUUCUGGGACGGUACUGACGCUGAGACGCGAAAGCGUGGGGAGCGAACAGGAUUAGAUACCCCGGUAGUC
rnacentral:rRNA from 1 species